rnacentral:rRNA from 1 species
UGGAUCCAGACUUUGAUUAUGGCUCAGGAUGAACGCUAGCUACAGGCUUAACACAUGCAAGUCGAGGGGAAACGACAUCGAAAGCUUGCUUUUGAUGGGCGUCGACCGGCGCACGGGUGAGCAACGCGUAUCCAACCUGCCCAUCACUUGGGGAUAACCUUGCGAAAGUAAGACUAAUACCCAAUGACGUCUCUAGAAGACAUCUGAAAGAGAUUAAAGAUUUAUCGGUGAUGGAUGGGGAUGCGUCUGAUUAGCUUGUUGGCGGGGUAACGGCCCACCAAGGCAACGAUCAGUAGGGGUUCUGAGAGGAAGGUCCCCCACAUUGGAACUGAGACACGGUCCAAACUCCUACGGGAGGCAGCAGUGAGGAAUAUUGGUCAAUGGGCGAGAGCCUGAACCAGCCAAGUAGCGUGCAGGAUGACGGCCCUAUGGGUUGUAAACUGCUUUUAUAAGGGAAUAAAGUGAGUCUCGUGAGACUUUUUGCAUGUACCUUAUGAAUAAGGACCGGCUAAUUCCGUGCCAGCAGCCGCGGUAAUACGGAAGGUCCGGGCGUUAUCCGGAUUUAUUGGGUUUAAAGGGGGCGUAGGCCGGAGAUUAAGCGUGUUGUGAAAUGUAGACGCUCAACGUCUGCACUGCAGCGCGAACUGGUUUCCUUGAGUACGCACAAGGUGGGCGGAAUUCGUGGUGUAGCGGUGAAAUGCUUAGAUAUCACGAAGAACUCCGAUUGCGAAGGCAGCUCACUGGAGCGCAACUGACGCUGAAGCUCGAAAGUGCGGGUAUCGAACAGGAUUAGAUACCCUGGUAGUCCGCACGGUAAACGAUGGAUGCCCGCUGUUGGUCUGAAUAGGUCAGCGGCCAAGCGAAAGCAUUAAGCAUCCCACCUGGGGAGUACGCCGGCAACGGUGCAACUCAAAUGAAUUGACGGA